UUAAAAUGAGAUGAUGGAGUCACAGAUAAAGUUUAAUGUCAAGAUUUCUGACGGUUAAACUGGUACAUCUGGUGAAGCUAACUGGGCUAGCUUGAAAUGUAGCGCCAACAGGACACAUUAAGGCCGGUUAGAGGACAACCACUGGUCUAACACCUUCCUGUUGGACCUGGCCGGACCGCAGAGACGGGUCAACGGUUCUGUCAGCCCAGCCAAUGGAACCAGUGAUACUACAGGCCACGCCUCCUCCUGAGAAAAGGAGGGAAUCACAGUAAUCCCAGAUCAUAACUUCUUGAGUUCAAGAACCGGGUUGGUUCUGUAGAAUUUAGUUCAUACACUUCAGAAAUAUCUGAAGUCCAAAUAGGAAAUGCCUUUCACUGUCCUUUCAAAAUAAAGAUAAAUUAAGUUAAACAGACAGGAACCCAUUUAAAAUGAAGAUGAAGCGGGUUCUGGAGGGGUUCUGGAUCCUUAAAUGGUCUUUAUUUUUGAAAACAUUUAUAAAACAGAGCUGAAUAAACAGAACCAGCAUGAGUCCGACUCACUGUUAGCUGAACAGAACCUGAACAGAACCCAGCUUCAUGUUGAAAGACACACAGAUGGACAGUUUGAA